GAACGAACGCUGGCGGCAGGCCUAACACAUGCAAGUCGAACGGGUACUUUCGGGUACUAGUGGCGGACGGGUGAGUAACGCGUGGGAACGUGCCCUUUGGUUCGGAAUAGCCCUGGGAAACUGGGAGUAAUACCGGAUGAGCCCUACGGGGGAAAGAUUUAUCGCCAAAGGAUCGGCCCGCGUUGGAUUAGGUAGUUGGUGGGGUAAUGGCCUACCAAGCCGACGAUCCAUAGCUGGUUUGAGAGGAUGAUCAGCCACACUGGGACUGAGACACGGCCCAGACUCCUACGGGAGGCAGCAGUGGGGAAUCUUAGACAAUGGGGGAAACCCUGAUCUAGCCAUGCCGCGUGAUCGAUGAAGGCCUUAGGGUUGUAAAGAUCUUUCAGUGGGGAAGAUAAUGACGGUACCCACAGAAGAAGCCCC
rnacentral:rRNA from 1 species